rnacentral:lncRNA from 1 species
AUCUUACAUAGUUCAGAAAAUAAAAUGCCUAAGCAGAAUGAGUGGAGUGCUCAUUGGGAAUGUUGCAGGUGUGAAUCUGCCAGAGAAGUUUUCAGAACUUCUCAUCUGUAAUAGAGGUAGAAAGAAGUUUGGUGGGUAUUAGGAAUAGGGUAGAUUUUUCCUGAACAGAGAGGCUACAACACAGAAACAACCCCAGCAUUAACUUGUCCUAAGUGGCAAACAGAAAGAUAGGACUGGGUGAGGAGCCUUCUACUGCAGGAGCACUGACAGGAGGACAAACUCCACGCAUUUCAGAGGAUUUGAAGGGGGUCUGGGCCACUCACGACUUACAGAGAAAGCCGCUGAGGAAGACCAGUAUAACCCUACUUAGAGACUUCUUCCAACCCAAUCUCUGGCUGCAGUCUUUUCUGGUCUUCAACCAAGGGAGGAAUUGAGACUUCAGAAAUAUUGAAAAGCGAUGUUAUUUCUAUUUCAUCCUUAUAGUCAGCCUUCUCCGAGGAAAUGGCACAUAAACACAGAAAGUCUGAUUUAUAAAACCCACUUAAUAAAUUAUUC